AGGCCACUGUGUUCACGUCACAGUCUACUCACUAUUAUGUCAUCAAUGGACAGUAGAGAAAAUGAGCUCUCCUGGGAGAUGGUAACACAGAUUUCCACCUUCUGAAAGCUACAGAGGAAUACUGGCCAGGUUCUUUCUGCCUGUUCUGGGCAUGCUGUGCUUUUCAGGAGGUGCAAAACGCUGCUGCUUCUGACAGCAGGGAGAAGUGGCACCUUCAGCUCUGGAAUACAACUGCUGCCAAACUCUCCAUAGAACGGUUCAAGACACAGCAGGUCAUGCAGGCUCAGGAGCAGGAAUGUCUCUGAUGGCUGACAAAUGGCGAAGAUAUUCUCUAUCACAUCAGACUCCAAGGUGUAAUUGCAGACUCUGCUCUAAAUGGCCCAGCAGCCCCAAG
rnacentral:lncRNA from 1 species